rnacentral:lncRNA from 1 species
AUUUAUUAACAGUCCAUCAACCCAUUUAUAAACAGUCCUUUUUACAGUCCAAAACCUAAAAUUAAAUACAUGACCCUAGACCUAAUAACUAAAACCCCAUGGCCUAAAAACAAUGGCCCAAUACCCAAAAAUGAGCCCGAAUGGCCCAGAAAUUUUGGAACAGAAACCCUAGGCUUUCUUUCUUUCUCCUGCGCUGCAACAGCAGCCUCCAGACACCUUCGCCUCCGUACUCCUCACGCCAAACGCCAGUACGCCUCUGUACCCUUCAGCAGCCACGCCCGCGCCAACUAGCCUCCGUACCUGCGAAGAAACAGACAAACACAACAGUAAGGACAAGCAAAAACAAAAAAAAAGCAGCAAAGAAAAAACAAUAGAAAAGGAAAUUCUUUGUAUUUUUUUUUUGGAUUUUCGGCUAUAUAAAAGCCCUAUGUUUAUUUUAAUCGAGGGAUACGAACAGAAUACACAAAAAAAGAGCAAUAAAAUACAAAAAAGAAUCAAGGUGAUUUUUCGAUUCGAAAUCUUCGAUUUUUUUUAGCUUCAUUCAUUCGGGUUUUGUUGUUCUGAGAUUCGAAAGCAAAUAUAUAAAAAAAAAGGGAGGGGAAAGGAUUUUCUUACGGAUUCGGUGUCGAUUCAUUCCACCGUUGCCUCUCCGGUCAAAGGCUCAUCAGAUCUUUGGGGGUCUGAUUAAAACCACGUCGGUGGUGGAGGCAUUUUAAUCGCCGGUGAAGCCCAAGAGUAAGCCAAAGGGGAGAGGUUAAGGUCAGCCAAGGUGAUAGGGUUAAAAGAGGAUUAGGGAUUUGAAAAUCGAUAGAAUGG